rnacentral:tRNA from 1 species
GCCUUUGAAAGAUUGAAGUUAUCUAUUGGUCUUAGGAACCAAAAACCCUUGGUGCAAUUCCAAGCAAAAGCU